UGGGGAAUUUUGCGCAAUGGGGGAAACCCUGACGCAGCAACGCCGCGUGCGGGAUGACGGCCUUCGGGUUGUAAACCGCUUUCAGCAGGGAAGAUUAUGACGGUACCUGCAGAAGAAGCCCCGGCUAACUACGUGCCAGCAGCCGCGGUAAUACGUAGGGGGCAAGCGUUAUCCGGAUUCAUUGGGCGUAAAGAGCGCGUAGGCGGACGUUUAAGCAGAAUCUCUAAUCUGAGGGCUCAACCCCCAGCCGGAUUCUGAACUGGAUGUCUCGAGUUUGGUAGAGGAAGAUGGAAUUCCCGGUGUAGCGGUGGAAUGCGCAGAUAUCGGGAAGAACACCGAUGGCGAAGGCAGUCUUCUGGGCCAUAACUGACGCUGAGGCGCGAAAGCUAGGGGAGCGAACA
rnacentral:rRNA from 1 species